rnacentral:rRNA from 1 species
AUUGAACGCUGGCGGCAUGCCUUACACAUGCAAGUCGAACGGCAGCACGGGAGCAAUCCUGGUGGCGAGUGGCGAACGGGUGAGUAAUAUAUCGGAACGUGCCCAGUAGUGGGGGAUAACUGCUCGAAAGAGCAGCUAAUACCGCAUACGACCUGAGGGUGAAAGGGGGGGAUCGCAAGACCUCUCGCUAUUGGAGCGGCCGAUAUCAGAUUAGCUAGUUGGUGGGAUAAAGGCCUACCAAGGCAACGAUCUGUAGUUGGUCUGAGAGGACGACCGGCCACACUGGGACUGAGACACGGCCCAGACUCAUACGGGAGACAGCAGUGGGGAAUUUUGGACAAUGGGCGCAAGCCUGAGCCAGCAAUGCCGCGUGCAGGAAGAAGGCCUUCGGGUUGUAAACUGCUUUUGUCAGGGAAGAAAUCCUCUAGGUUAAUACCCUUGGGGGGAUGACGGUACCUGAAGAAUAAGCACCGGCUAACUACGUGCCAGCCGCCGCGGUAAAAC